GUAACUUUGUCAAAUUCUCUUUUCCUUACAUGGAUGUAAUUCUAGAAUCUCAUUACAUGGUGUAAUUAUGCAGUUAUUUUUGUCUUUUUAGCAAAUGAACAAUUUGAGUUUGAACUUUAGAGUUUAUGUAUUAACCAUUAGGUGUUAGAUUGAUUUCCUGGUAGUAUAAUUGCUUGGUGUUUGUGCAGGAGUGCAAGAAAGGAAUUUGAAUACCAGCUUUUAGGAAAUAAAUUGUACACAUUAAGUUUACAGUUACUUCUUUCACUUUUGUUAUUUUUCUUUUGUGUUUAUUAUUUACUUGAUACUCCAUGAAGUCCCCAAAUUUUAUUGUCCUACAAGAUUUCUCUUAAAAUCUUUGUGUGAUGAUUUUGUGUUCAUUUAUUUGUUUUCUUGAUUCUGUCCAGAGUGUCAGCACUAGGAGAGUACGGAUCUUAUCAUUUAGUGAUUUGUCUUCAUUUUAUAUUACAUCCUCAUUAAAUGUUUGUUUAGUGAAUUAAUGACACCAGCUGAGGGCAACACACGGUUGUUGACAUGAGAAUAUACAACAAAUAAAAUAUGGUCCUUGCCCUCUUGGGAUUUAGAGUUUAGUGGUUUUACAGAAGCAAAGUGUAAGACCAGUUGGUAGUAAGGAAGGGUAUAGGAAAUGUUCUGAAAACCUAGAAUCAAGUAUUCAUUUACACUGGGAAGACUGGGAAGAAUUCGCUAAGAUGAUAACUUUUGAGCAGGUCACAAAGGGCCUAUGAAUGAAUUGUGAAGAAUUAUAUCAUUGUUACAUUUGGAAAGAGCAUAGGAGGGUGAAAGAAAACAUGGAUGAAGCUUCCUGAAUUUCAGCUUCUGGGAUGAAUCAAGUUCAGAGACUAGGAACUGCUGGUGUGUCAGUAUUUCCUCUCAGCUCCACUAUGAAUGAGCAUCUGAUCUGGGACAGAAGUUGAGAAUAUAGAUCCUGGAAUUGGAGUAACUAUCAUGCAGGCAUGAAGAUCCAAGUCAUACCUCUAGACUCGCUGUUACUUUGAACAAUAAACAUCUUACUCGUGUUAACAACUGUUUGUGACGUUUCUGUUACGUGUUGUCAAAAUAAUUUUCUUUUAAUUAGUUUCAGAGGCAGAAUUUAGUGUUUCAUCAGUCGCAUAUAACACCCAGUGCU